AACGCUGGCGGCGUGCUUAACACAUGCAAGUCGAACGAAGCACCUCUAAUGAAGAUUGACGAAGCUUGCUUCUGAUUGAUUCGCCUUGAGGUGACUGAGUGGCGGACGGGUAAGUAACGCGUGGGUAACCUACCUCAUACAGGGGGAUAACAGUCGGAAACGACUGCUAAUACCGCAUAAGCGCACAGUAUCGCAUGAUACAGUGUGAAAAGCUCCGACGGUAUGAGAUGGACCCGCGUCUGAUUAGCUAGUUGGUGAGGUAACGGCUCACCAAGGCGACGAUCAGUAGCCGACCUGAGAGGGUGACCGGCCACAUUGGGACUGAGACACGGCCCAAACUCCUACGGGAGGCAGCAGUGGGGAAUAUUGCACAAUGGGCGAAAGCCUGAUGCCAGCGACGCCGCGUGAACGAAGAAGUAUUUCGGUAUGUAAAGUUCUAUCAGCAGGGAAGAAAAAUGACGGUACCUGACUAAGAAGCUCCGGCUAAAUACGUGCCAGCAGCAGC
rnacentral:rRNA from 1 species